AUGCGAUAAGUAAUGUGAAUUGCAGAAUUCAGUGAAUCAUCGAAUCUUUGAACGCACCUUGCGCUCCUUGGUAUUCCGAGGAGCAUGCCUGUUUGAGUGUCAUUAAAUUCUCAACCUCACCAGUUUUGUUAUGAGACUGUGUAAGGCUUGGAUGUGGGGGUUUUUGCAGGCUGCCUCUGUGCGGUCUGCUCCCCUGAAAUGUAUUAGCGAGUUCACUAAGCUCCGUCUAUUGGUGUGAUAAUUAUCUACGCCGUGGAAUGGGUUUAGACUUGCUUCUAACCGUCUGCAAAGACAACUUUUGACAAUUUGACCUCAAAUCAGGUAGGACUACCCGCUGAACUUAA
rnacentral:misc_RNA from 1 species